rnacentral:pre_miRNA from 1 species
CUGGUAUUCCCUUCGUCCGAAAAAACUUGUCAUCAAAAUAGAUAAAAAGGGAUGUAUCUAGAACUAAAAUACAUCUAGAUACAUCUCCUUUUAUUCAUUUUGAUGACAAGUAUUUCCGGACGGAGGAAGUAGCUC